AAGUUAACCUCGAAAUGAUCAAAUGUCAAAUGAGUGUAAAGUAAACAUGAGCUGUUGUCUCUGCAUGAGCUAGUUUAAAAUUGUGAGCAGCUUUCUCUGAUUGUGAGUGUAUUUACAGAGACACUGGUAUUAACUUCGAGGUGGUAAUUCUUAUGAGGCUCCAGUUUACUUUGACGCUCUAAAGCAAACAACUACCCGCUUAUGAAUAUUCUAGAAAUGUCACCACAUAACUUUGAGCCUUUGAAAUCAAUAUCUUGUAAGAGAUUAUCGUGAUAACCGGCUACCUGAUUGUUCACAAAGCAGUAUCAUGGCAAGAUCUGAUAUUUUCUGGUGGACAAUGCUUUUCCCUACACCAUUAUUUGGAGAUGACAUCAAAUCAAGUAGUUAAUUUCAUUUGGUGAAUUAUGGAUUGGUUGGUAAAUGAUCAUCAAUUGCUUAUUGAAACAAAUCUGGCAAUGGCAACAGAAGUCAAUCCUUGCAAAGGAUGAGAAAUAAAAAAAUUGUUAUGGAGCAAUAAAUAUUGUCAAAAAUAUGAGAACAUACAACCUUAAUAUUAUAAUAAUUCUAUGGAAAUGAAACUACAAUUCCCGCGCCGAGUUUUGAUUGGUCAACAAUUGUUUUCGCAGAACGUUUCCGCCAUCAACGGAUUUUUAGUUUCCGUCCGCCAGAGCUGAGGCAAUUCUUGGAAGUUGCGAGGUGCAAGUGCUGCUAUGGUGCUAGUAUGUGAGACGCUCAGUUGUUUUUUGUGGAAGACGAAAAUAUUGAAUUCUAUGGAAGUGAAACUACAAUUCCCGCGCUGAUUUUGGAUUGGUCAACAAUUGUUUUCGCAGAACGUUUCCGCCAUCAACGGAUUUUUGGCUUCCGCCUUCUUCUACGCUUGGGUCUUGGAUCGUUUGGGAGUAACGGGUUGCAAGUGCUAGUAUGGGGACCUCCAAUUGUUUUUUGUGCAGGGUGAAGGCGAAAAUAUUGAAUUCUAUGGAAGUGAAACUACAAUUCCCGAGCUGAUUUUGGAUUGGUCAACAAUUGUUUUCUCAGUACGUUUCCUCCAUCAACGGAUUUUUAGCUUCGGCCUUCUUCUACGCUUGGGAGUUACGAGUUGCAAGUGCUAGUAUGA